UAGGGAAUCUUCCGCAAUGGACGCAAGUCUGACGGAGCAACGCCGCGUGAGUGAAGAAGGAUUUCGGUUCGUAAAACUCUGUUGUUAGAGAAGAACAGCGCAUAGAGUAACUGUUAUGCGUGUGACGGUAUCUAACCAGAAAGCCACGGCUAACUACGUGCCAGCAGCCGCGGUAAUACGUAGGUGGCAAGCGCUGUCCGGAUUUAUUGGGCGUAAAGCGAGCGCAGGUGGUUAGAAAAGUCUGAAGGGAAAGGCAGUGGCUCAACCAGUGUAGGCUUUGGAAACUGUUUAACUUGAGUGCAGAAGGGGAGAGUGGAAUUCCAUGUGUAACGGUGAAAUGCGUAGAUAUAUGGAGGAACACCGGUGGCGAAAGCGGCUCUCUGGUCUGUAACUGACGCUGAGGCUCGAAAGCGUGGGGAGCGAACAGG
rnacentral:rRNA from 1 species